rnacentral:misc_RNA from 1 species
AACGCACAUUGCACUCUCUUUCGGGAGAGUAUGCCUGUUUGAGAAUCUAUUGUAUUCAUUCCCAGGGUUUCCUGGGAGUUUUGAGGUUUCUCCCUACACUAGUAAGGAGUGCCUUUAAAUAGAUUGCUGGCUUUGAUGCAGUAACAAAACAAUUGAGCGGACCAUUUAUGGCCUUACCUUUGUUUUAUGUGAGCAUAAAGGCUGGCCCAACUAUUAAAGCGGUGCUCUAGGGCAUUGCUUGAACCAUGGUCUCAAAUCAGGUAGGACUACCCGCUGAACUUAA